UCUCUCCUUAAUUUCCUCCUCUCUCUAUAAUCCUUUCCUCUCCAAAAACAAACCUGCAACAUCUAUUCCACCAUCAUCGGGGAACCCCUUUCCGACUAUGCGCUCAACCUCUCUAUCUCCAUUUAAACCUUCAGCGAUCUAGAUACGCUCCGGUCACUCAACGGCGGCUCGUGUCUCCACUGCUCGGAGCUCUGUUUCUCUGUCCAACACAUACCGAUACGAACUGGAACCAGGAAUGUUGAUAAUGAAACCGAUGCUUAUGCUAUGCUUGCUGUCAUGGAAAUCAAGUUAGGAGGUCUAGAAACGUCACAUUUAAUUCUGAGUUGUCGAAACAAUUUAUUUGUCUUUGAGAUACUAUGUCUGUAAUAACUAUUUUGCUUGAUAUGUUAUGGUAUGGGACGUAACGUUAAAAUAUUUGGUAAUAUUAGUUGUUAUGAAUU
rnacentral:lncRNA from 1 species